rnacentral:rRNA from 1 species
UACGGGGGGGGCAAGCGUUGUUCGGAAUUACUGGGCGUAAAGGGCUCGUAGGCGGUUUGUCGCGUCGGGGGUGAAAACUCAGGGCUUAACCCUGAGCCUGCUUCCGAUACGGGCAGACUAGAGGUAUGCAGGGGAGAACGGAAUUCCUGGUGUAGCGGUGAAAUGCGCAGAUAUCAGGAGGAACACCGGUGGCGAAGGCGGUUCUCUGGGCAUUACCUGACGCUGAGGAGCGAAAGUGUGGGGAGCGAACAGG